CAUAUACAGGUAUAUACACAUUACAUACUACAUAUAUGGCCAUGUAAAUGGGUAUGUCAACCACUGCAGUAUCCAGAUGGUGAUCCAGCCUUCCAAACUGAACCAAGGCACUAGUAAUGUAUUGCCAUGGUUAUUUUGUCCUACUGCCCAAAACACAGUGGAAAGGUCUGCAGGGAGAAGCACAUUCCUUGAACUGUGAGGUAAAGGUGGUUUAGGGCAGCAGCUACCAGCCCAGAGCAGGGUUCACUCAGCUCCAAGAUCUAACCUGGGUAGGGGUGUGGAAUGGGGCCACCUGCUUAAAUGCCUCAAGGUGUGUUUCGUGAGGGGGUUUAACUGGCUCAGCCUACUGCUUUCCUGCCAGGGUCAAGAGGGCUUUUUUUCAAGUAGCAGACAGUGAAGGAAUCUGGAGGAGACUGUCAUGUACAGUAAAAGAAAGAGGUGGUCUCGGGUAAGGAGCCUGUGGUUAUGUGCUGACCUGGAAGAGUAAGCAGGGAAGAGUGGGCUAACUACAGCAAUUUGAUAGAGGAGCAGGAAUGGCAGCAGAAGAGGAAUGUGCUGGUGCGUUCAUCCUGGAAGUAGUCAGGGCCCCUGUUUGUUCCCAGUGAAAUGGUAUGGCAGUCACACUGUAGGCAUCCCAUUGGGCUGCCAGGCAGACUCGGAACUCAACAUCAUGGAUAAAAGCAGGAAUAAAAGAAACAGGCUCAUGUUUGUACAAAACCAGCUUAGCACAAGGAAGGUGUCAGCAGCCAUGGGUCUACCUAGAAGAGCAAAGACAGCUGCUGGGCAUGUGAGCAGUCUGGCUGUACCCUCCCAGGUGAGCUUGUUGGGUCUCAGCAGGACACCUCUUCUGGGGACACAGGGUCCAUGGGGCCCAGACAUGAAGGUCCCACCCUGCACCCAGGAGGGAAGCUGCAGAGUGGGUCCCCCUUGGGCCUGGGCCCUGCUGCAGUGGUGCCUGCACUGCAAGGUGCCUGAGCAGCAGCGCUGUUCUCUUGUGGCGUGAAAGCCCCCAUAGCAAGUGGCAGUGGAGAUCUAAGCAAUGCCAGGUGGGGAG